GGUCAGGUCCCUCGCUUCAAAUCCACCUUGUACUGUCAUUUACUGGGUGGAUUACAUGCUUCCAUGAUCCUAAAGCGGCUUCCACUUGUAGACAUGAUUCCACAUAUAAAUCCCGGUCUUUCCUUGUUAAAAUGCAAGCAAGAUAUGGCAUGUCCACAUGGAAUACCUGUAAGUUGUCAUCCCCCACAAGCACAAGUCCUA
rnacentral:lncRNA from 1 species